UAUGUGAUGAGUCGUUGGAUCCUGGCUCAGGACGAACGCUGGCGGCGUGCCUCAAUACAUGCAAUGAACGUGCUUUCCACCGGAGCUUGCCCACCGGUGCGCGAAGUAGCGGCAACGUGCAGUAACACGUGCGCACCUGCCCAUCGAAGCGUGAUGCAACACUUGAAACAGUGCUACGAGCCAUAACAAUCAAAAACUGCAUGGUUUUUGAUUUUGAAAGGCGCUUCGUGGUGUCGCUGAUGGAUGGACUGCGUGAUUAGCUAGUUGGUGAGGUAAAUUUGCCUCACUACAAGGCCACGAUGCAUAGCCGACCUUGAGGAGAGGGUGACGUGGCCACAUUGGGAUCUCGCCGAGACACGGCCCAAAACCCCGCCGGGAGGCAGCAGUAGGGAAUCUCGGCGCAAUGUCACUGACGAAAGCUCCGACCGUAUAACGCCGCGAAAGGGAAGACAGCGUUUUCGGACGCACCUUGUUAGGAGAAGAAUGUAAGGAUGAGAGUAACUGCUCGGCCUUUUGACGGUACUGGUUCAGAAAGCCGGGCGCAGCACCGCACAUGUAAAAGCCGCAGCGCGGUAAUACGUGCAGGGCAAGCGUUGUCCGAUUUAUUGGCGUAAAGCGAGAGCGCAGGCGGUUUCGCCCGAUAAGCGCCCGCCCAAACCGGGGAGGGCCGUCAUUGGAAACUGGGAGAUCUGGAGUGCGUGAAGCGAGAGGAAAUUCCGGCGUGUAGCGCAGUACCGCGCAGAUGAGUAUGGAGGAACACCAGUGGCGAAGGCGGCCUCUGGUCUGUAACUGACGCUGAGGCCUCGAAAGCGUGGGGAGCAACAGAAUAGAUACCCCGGUAGUCCACGUGCCGCAAACCAUGGAAAGUGCUAAGUGUUGAGGAAGUUUCCCGCCCCAGUGCUGCAGCUAACGCAUUAAGCACUCGCCUGGGGAGUACGACCGCAAGGCGCCGGAACCAAGCACCGAUAGCCCGCACAAGCGCGGUGGAGCAUGUGUGGUUUAAUUCGGAAGCAAACGCAGCAACCUUACUAUGUCUCUGACAUCCUUGACCACUCCUUAGAGAUAGAGCCUUCGGGGCAAAAGCGACAGGUGGUGCAUGGUCGCCGUGCCCGCUCGUGUCGUGAGAUAUGCCGGCGCUGGCGUCCCGCAACGAGCGCAACCCUUAUUAAAAGCGCAGCGCCAUCAUUCAGUUAAGCACGAAGACCGCUUCUGCGACAAAACCGGAGGAAGGUGUAGAUGACGUCAAACCAUCAGCGCCCCCAUGACCUGGCUGGCCACACGCUACAAUGCAGCGCCGUAACGAGUUGCGGCCGCGAGGCUAAGCUAAUCUCUUAAAGCUCAGCGCCCGACGGUGGCUGCAACUCGCCCCCGUAAUGAAGCCGGAAUCGCUAGUAACGACCAGCACGCCGCGGUGAAUACGCCGUUCCUGGCCUUGUAGGUACACCGCCCGUGUCACACCGGUAACACCCGAAGUCGGUGAGGUAACCUUUUUGGAGCCAGCCGCCUAAGGUGGGAUAGAUGAUUGGGGUGAAGUCGUAACAAGGUAGCCGUAUCGGAAGGUGCGGCUGGAUCACCUCCUUU
rnacentral:rRNA from 1 species